CAGCCGCCACGGGAAUACGAAGGGUGCAAGCGUUAAUCGGAAUUACUGGGCGUAAAGCGUGCGUAGGUGGUGGUUUAAGUCCGUUGUGGAAGCCCUGGGCUCAACCUGGGAAUUGCAGUGGAUACUGGGUCACUAGAGUGUGGUAGAGGAUAGUGGAAUUUCCGGUGUAGCAGUGAAAUGCGUAGAGAUCGGAAGGAACAUCUGUGGCGAAGGCGACUAUCUGGGCCAACACUGACACUGAGGCACGAAAGCGUGGGGAGCAAACAGGAUUAGAUACCCGAGAAGUCCCCUGUCUCUUAUA
rnacentral:rRNA from 1 species